CGGACAGCCAGGCAGCGACAUUGCCUGGCUGGAGGGCUGCUGAGAACAACCCGGAGACUCUUCAGGCAUUUUCCCUAACGUCCCUUUGGACUCCAGAGGAAUUUAGGUCAGCGGAACAUGAUGGCUCCAGACGGACCCUGGCCUUGAAACUCUUACACCACCAAAAAGCAGCACUGUAAGCUUCUUCACGAAUGCAAGUGGCCAGAGCCUGGUCUCGCGUCCUGUCCCGGAGCUGCGGUCGCUCCAGCAGCACCCUGAUAUUUUACAGACUCGGAAGGAACAGCAUCGCAUCGACUCAUCCGUGCCGCUUCCCCAAGCCACCUCCGAACUGCACGGCAGUUUCUCGCCCGUGCCUGGACCUGUUUACCGCGUGAGAAACGCAACUCAUAACUGCAAACAAUAUUUGCAAAUGGUGCCUGUCAGCAGGAAAAUGCUCGGGAAGAUGUAAACGGCUUGUACGUAAGAGGCCCAGACAAAGUUAUGCAGUAAAGCACCCGCAGCCUCCCUUGUAUUUGGCAUCCCACCCUUCAAAGCAGCAGCUGGGGUAGGUAGCUCAACUAAAGCUCAUUUAGCAAGCUGUAAAGGGCCCUCGCCACCCUUUUGAAUUGCAGGGAGGCUGAAUACGCAUGAUGCAGAUGCUGCCGGAGCACACUAAUUGGCACGCUCUAGCAGACUCGAUGAAUUGAGCGUGCUCCAAUGUGUACUCUUUAGCCUGUGCCUGAGCAGAGGUCCGCCACGUGUAUCGGUGCCCUUCCAUUCCAAAGACAUAGGAGAAGCAGAGACGCUAGGUUUCAAGCAAACCAAGGUCAACUUUCUGUAUUCUGUUGGAUCCUGGAGCGACAGUGAGCGCAGCGGUGUUUGUGGCGGUGGUGUAGCCAUUUUGCUUCUUGCAAGUCAAAGGAGAACGGAGGGGAAAACAAGUCGGCCCCAACACAUCUCUUCAACUGAGCAUUAGUUGAAGUUCCCAAACCUGCAGAGAGACUGGUAGUUGUGCAGGUCUGUCUCCGUUAAUGUUUGCUUUACGGUUUCUCUUCUUGCAUUAUAACUGUCAUGCUUUUGAAGUCUCCAGCGGAGGUGCGCGGCAGGUUACCCCCGGUGGGGCCAGGGAGACUGCAGCCAGCACUGGGCUGGCCCCAGUAGCCUAACCUGGGGUCCCAGGUGCCUCCUGGGGU